rnacentral:tRNA from 1 species
GGGCCCGUGGCCUAACCUGGACAGGGCGAGUGGCUUCGGACCACUAGGUUGGGGGUUCGAAUCCCUCCGGGCCCG